AAUUCCACUUUUGCAAGUAACUAGCUAUAAAUAAGUAACCGGAGGUGUUUAAAAGGUAUUCUUUUUCAUUUUCAAUUUGAAGUCGUGUUUUACAAUUAAAAUGAAACAAUUAGUAGCCAUCACUGUAUUAUCUCUAUGCAUAUGUUUGUGUAUAGCACAACAAUGCCCUCCAUGCGAUCCAUUAAAAUGUGCAAUUCCUAGCUGUAGUUCAGAAUCAGUAUUAAAAAAGAAACAUCCCUGUGAUUGCUGUGAAAGCUGCUACACCGAAAAACAAAAAGGAGGAGAUUGCUCAUCUGCGAGUGCAGCUUGUGCUGAAGGAUCAUUUUGUAUCAAUGGGACAUGCCAAUAAAAAAUAUAAUUUGAGAACAUAUUAAAUUUUGAUGGCUGUUUUUAUUUAAAUGUUGUUUUUUAAUCUACUAAAAAUAGUUAGUCAAUAUGUGACAGUCAUAAUGAUUUAAAAGAAAUAUUGGUUUCUAAUUUUGUGAUUUUAUAUCAAAUAAACUAUUGGUAUUCGACAAGUA